GGAUUGUAGUCUGCAACCCGACUACAUGAAGCUGGAAUCGCUAGUAAUCGCGGAUCAGAAUGCCGCGGUGAAUACGUUCCCGGGUCUUGUACACACCGCCCGUCACACCAUGGGAGUCGGAAAUGCCCGAAGUCUGUGACCCAACCUACGGGAGGGAGCAGCCGAAGGCAGGUCGGAUGACUGGGGUGAAGUCGUAACAAGGUAAC
rnacentral:rRNA from 1 species